rnacentral:rRNA from 2 species
UUAAGUUAUUAAGGGCGCACGGUGGAUGCCUUGGCACUAGAAGCCGAUGAAGGACGUUACUAACGACGAUAUGCUUUGGGGAGCUGUAAGUAAGCUUUGAUCCAGAGAUUUCCGAAUGGGGAAACCCAGCAUGAGUUAUGUCAUGUUAUCGAUAUGUGAAUACAUAGCAUAUCAGAAGGCACACCCGGAGAACUGAAACAUCUUAGUACCCGGAGGAAGAGAAAGAAAAUUCGAUUCCCUUAGUAGCGGCGAGCGAAACGGGAAGAGCCCAAACCAACAAGCUUGCUUGUUGGGGUUGUAGGACACUCUAUACGGAGUUACAAAGGACGACAUUAGACGAAUCAUCUGGAAAGAUGAAUCAAAGAAGGUAAUAAUCCUGUAGUCGAAAAUGUUGUCUCUCUUGAGUGGAUCCUGAGUACGACGGAGCACGUGAAAUUCCGUUGGAAUCUGGGAGGACCAUCUCCUAAGGCUAAAUACUCUCUAGUGACCGAUAGUGAACCAGUACCGUGAGGGAAAGGUGAAAAGCACCCCGGAAGGGGAGUGAAAUAGAACCUGAAACCGUGUGCUUACAAGUAGUCAGAGCCCGUUAAUGGGUGAUGGCGUGCCUUUUGUAGAAUGAACCGGCGAGUUACGAUUUGAUGCAAGGUUAAGCAGUAAAUGUGGAGCCGUAGCGAAAGCGAGUCUGAAUAGGGCGUUUAGUAUUUGGUCGUAGACCCGAAACCAGGUGAUCUACCCUUGGUCAGGUUGAAGUUCAGGUAACACUGAAUGGAGGACCGAACCGACUUACGUUGAAAAGUGAGCGGAUGAACUGAGGGUAGCGGAGAAAUUCCAAUCGAACCUGGAGAUAGCUGGUUCUCUCCGAAAUAGCUUUAGGGCUAGCCUCAAGUGAUGAUUAUUGGAGGUAGAGCACUGUUUGGACGAGGGGCCCCUCUCGGGUUACCGAAUUCAGACAAACUCCGAAUGCCAAUUAAUUUAACUUGGGAGUCAGAACAUGGGUGAUAAGGUCCGUGUUCGAAAGGGAAACAGCCCAGACCACCAGCUAAGGUCCCAAAAUAUAUGUUAAGUGGAAAAGGAUGUGGCGUUGCCCAGACAACUAGGAUGUUGGCUUAGAAGCAGCCAUCAUUUAAAGAGUGCGUAAUAGCUCACUAGUCGAGUGACACUGCGCCGAAAAUGUACCGGGGCUAAACAUAUUACCGAAGCUGUGGAUUGUCCUUUGGACAAUGGUAGGAGAGCGUUCUAAGGGCGUUGAAGCAUGAUCGUAAGGACAUGUGGAGCGCUUAGAAGUGAGAAUGCCGGUGUGAGUAGCGAAAGACGGGUGAGAAUCCCGUCCACCGAUUGACUAAGGUUUCCAGAGGAAGGCUCGUCCGCUCUGGGUUAGUCGGGUCCUAAGCUGAGGCCGACAGGCGUAGGCGAUGGAUAACAGGUUGAUAUUCCUGUACCACCUAUAAUCGUUUUAAUCGAUGGGGGGACGCAGUAGGAUAGGCGAAGCGUGCGAUUGGAUUGCACGUCUAAGCAGUAAGGCUGAGUAUUAGGCAAAUCCGGUACUCAUUAAGGCUGAGCUGUGAUGGGGAGAAGACAUUGUGUCUUCGAGUCGUUGAUUUCACACUGCCGAGAAAAGCCUCUAGAUAGAAAAUAGGUGCCCGUACCGCAAACCGACACAGGUAGUCAAGAUGAGAAUUCUAAGGUGAGCGAGCGAACUCUCGUUAAGGAACUCGGCAAAAUGACCCCGUAACUUCGGGAGAAGGGGUGCUCUUUAGGGUUAACGCCCAGAAGAGCCGCAGUGAAUAGGCCCAAGCGACUGUUUAUCAAAAACACAGGUCUCUGCUAAACCGUAAGGUGAUGUAUAGGGGCUGACGCCUGCCCGGUGCUGGAAGGUUAAGAGGAGUGGUUAGCUUCUGCGAAGCUACGAAUCGAAGCCCCAGUAAACGGCGGCCGUAACUAUAACGGUCCUAAGGUAGCGAAAUUCCUUGUCGGGUAAGUUCCGACCCGCACGAAAGGCGUAACGAUUUGGGCACUGUCUCAACGAGAGACUCGGUGAAAUCAUAGUACCUGUGAAGAUGCAGGUUACCCGCGACAGGACGGAAAGACCCCGUGGAGCUUUACUGUAGCCUGAUAUUGAAAUUCGGCACAGCUUGUACAGGAUAGGUAGGAGCCUUUGAAACGUGAGCGCUAGCUUACGUGGAGGCGCUGGUGGGAUACUACCCUAGCUGUGUUGGCUUUCUAACCCGCACCACUUAUCGUGGUGGGAGACAGUGUCAGGCGGGCAGUUUGACUGGGGCGGUCGCCUCCUAAAAGGUAACGGAGGCGCUCAAAGGUUCCCUCAGAAUGGUUGGAAAUCAUUCAUAGAGUGUAAAGGCAUAAGGGAGCUUGACUGCGAGACCUACAAGUCGAGCAGGGU